UACGAAGGGUGCAAGCGUUAAUCGGAAUUACUGGGCGUAAAGGGUGCGUAGGCGGUUCGUUAAGUCUGUCGUGAAAUCCCCGGGCUCAACCUGGGAAUGGCGAUGGAUACUGGCGAGCUAGAGUGUGUCAGAGGAUGGUGGAAUUCCCGGUGUAGCGGUGAAAUGCGUAGAGAUCGGGAGGAACAUCAGUGGCGAAGGCGGCCAUCUGGGACAACACUGAUGCUGAAGCACGAAAGCGUGGGGAGCAAACAGG
rnacentral:rRNA from 1 species